CAAACAGUUGUGUAACAGAAAUCAGCUUGCCACAGAUUAAACUAAAUCCCACACGUAAACACAAAAGGAGAUAAGUUCUCAAACUUAAAUAUUAAGGGGGUGGAAGUCAGUCACAUCAACUGCCUUGUAACAUUUUCAUGCAAACUUUGUUGGGGUCCAUCUACCAAAAAGUUAUUUGAAGAGUUAACAACAUUUUUUCCUGACUUCCCAAAUAAUUGUGUUAGCUCUCAAACCAUUUUUAUCAAAGGCUAGAUUUCUAAAACAAGUUUGCAACUGAAUACGUCCUCUCUUGAUCCUGUGGUUUGUAACAUACAGGCUGUACGUCACUGGCUUUGGAGUCACGGACACGCUUCAAGAGUGCUCAGAUCUCCGUCGGCAGAGUUGGACAGGAUUCCACUGUGCAGUUGCUCCCAGCUGGUUCCAGCUGUUGCUGCACGUUUCGAUCCUGUUUUUUGGUGAAGACUGUGUUUCCAGUCCUUCCUUUCCCCGCUUACAAUCCUACACAAACAGCACCGUGUGGUUUGCUGGGGAAGCUGAUAGUAUUAGUAAAGGCCAGUGG
rnacentral:lncRNA from 1 species